ACUCACUGCCUGUCCUUGUGUUCCAGAGGAUUCCCAAACCCAAACAUGAGAGAUCACUGCUGAACAUGCAGCUCUGACAACAUUUUGCUUUGCCACUCUUAUGGAUUGAUUGUGCACAUGUAGCAAGGCUGCAAGUUGAAGAAGUGUGGAGGAAGCUGAUAAUGCUCUUUCAGUUCCUGAGGACUUCAGGCAGCUAUAAAAGUGAUAGGACAUUGGCAAACACCAACACUCAGCUCACAAACAGCUGGCUGAGAAGUUGAAGACAAACAUCUGGAGGACUAAAAUAGUGCAGGAAUACCUGAAAAUACUAUUGAGAAGGAGCACCAGCAGCAGAGAUCCCUUCCCCUGGCACAAGAUUUGGUAAGUGGAGCCAAUAGGCACCCAGCUGCAGGGAGAACAUCAUCUUCAUCACCAGGGAAGGAAUUUCCAGAUGGAGUUAACAAAGCCUCCACCCCUACAGUCCGAGCAGUGGCUGAGUAUCAUUAAUCAUUCCAUCAAAUGGAGCAUUCACCACCCUCCUGGUAAGGACAGGUUGCUGGAAAACAUUCCUGAUUACAAUUCCUAUUGAGCAUUGCACUGCAGUACAUCUGGCAGCAGUGUCUGGGGUUGAUGUUUAACUAAACCACAUGUACAGACAGUUGGUUUAAGUACAAUGCAGAAUACCUGUGCAUUUAUCUGUGUUAUCAGCUCUCCUUCCUGUGACCUAUCAGUACAUAAAUACCAUAUCAAGUGCCUGCAUAUAUUAUACACACCAGAUUCAUCACAUCACACGUGGUAAUCAUGGUAGAUCUGCCCAAAGCAGCAAAUAACAACCAGCAGCAGACACAUAACAUCUUCACAACUGCUUCCUUUUUGGCUCCAUGCCUGCUCUGCACUGCAAGAGCUGCUGCACCAGAGGAGUUGGUUAAUGUUUGCACUUGCACAGCUCCUGGAAGAUGAAGGCACUCAAAUAUAGAAAUUAAUAUUCACAGGAGAGCUGUCAGGGGAAGAGUUUUCCCUGAGGUGCACUGUUUCAGUACAGUGUGUUUGACUGGCACUUGGGCUCCUUUCCUUCAUGGGGAGAAACAGGAGAGACAUAAUCUGUUUGUACUCUGAUUUUCCCCAUCCAAUUAGAACAUCCUUUCAAAGCAUUCCUGUUGCAGGUAGGCAGGAUAAUGUGAUAGACUUCCAGAGAUGUGGUCUCUCUUACACCACCUUCCAGCAGAGAGGCUUCCCAGGAGAAAGCAGUGUUGUCUCCCCAAGGAGGGGGAAGGACACAGCCACAGGCUUCUCUCAUGCCUGAUCUCUCAGGAGUGAACCAGGGUGAUGGACAACUUCUAAAUCCAGCAAGCUCCUCAGAUGAAGGCUGCCCAGAGAAGUCCAUCUGUGCCUCCCACUUGCACAUCCCUGGCUUUGGCUGAGCUCCAAGUGCAGCCAGCACUGAAAGGGAGAACAAAGCCUUGGCUUUGCAAGGGGAACUCAAGGCCCUCUCAGUGCUCUGCAGAGCCAAGUGUACACAUGAUAAGGCAGGAGAGCCAUUCCACACUGCAGUCACAUGCCAUGUGGGCUAUAAUCUCACAAGGACACAGAUAUGGCCAUGCAAAUAUGGGUUAUGCCUGUGCUAACAUCCAGCUCCUGUCCCUGGAGCUCCUGAAUGGCGUUAAUCUGGCUGCUAAUGCGGGACAAAGCUUGUGCUGGAGAGGCUGCAUUUCUGCUGGCUCUGCCCAGCCAGGAGCCUGCUGCCCUUUGGCACCUUGACUGGAGGGGUG